UACGUAGGGUGCAAGCGUUGUCCGGAAUUAUUGGGCGUAAAGAGCUUGUAGGCGGUUUGUCGCGUCUGCUGUGAAAUUUCGGGGCUCAACCCCGAACUUGCAGUGGGUACGGGCAGACUAGAGUGUGGUAGGGGGAGAUCGGAAUUCCUGGUGUAGCGGUGAAAUGCGCAGAUAUCAGGAGGAACACCGGUGGCGAAGGCGGGUCUCUGGGCCGAUACUGACGCUGAGGAGCGAAAGCGUGGGGAGCGAACAGG
rnacentral:rRNA from 1 species